ACAAGGUUUUGAUGGGCAAAACAAACAAGGAGAACAGAAACUGAGAAGGUUAGAGACAGAGGGGUUUUAGAGAAAAAAUAUUAUUUGACAUGUCCUGGAGCUCCAAAACGGAUUUCGCCUGCAAACACAAGGUUUUGACGGACAAAACAAACAAGAAGAACAGGAACUGAGAAGAUUGGCAUAACAUCAGAGACAGAGGGGUUUUAGAGAAAAAUAAUAAUUUGACGAUGCCCUACAACAACAGCUAAAAGCUGAAAAAAAGGAGGCCUCAGAGUUUGUCUUUGUUUCAACAGUUCAGAAAUGGCUUCGUUAUGCCCCAGAGCGGCUGGGGGGAAUUGCUCGUGGUGGAAAACCAUAAGUUCAUUCUUAUCUGUUUUGCUGAGUAAAUACAUUUCAACUGUACUAAUAAUGUUUCAGUCAUCUGUUUCUGUCUUGGUUGUUUCUAUUUGCAUUUGACUGAAUUU